rnacentral:rRNA from 1 species
GGAGAACUUGCCCUACGCUGGAGAAUAAUCUCGGGAAACUGAGGACAAUGCUCCAUAGCCUCGCCGUCCUGGAACGGUGGUGAGGUGAAAGCUCCGGCGGCGUAGGAUAGCUCUGCGGCCUAUCAGGUUGUAGCGAGGGUAACGUCCUCGCUAGCCUACGACGGGUAUGGGUGUUGGGAGACAUCGCCCAGAGAUGGAUUCUGAGACACGAAUCCAGGCCCUGCGGGGCGCAGCAGGCGCGAAAACUGCACAAUGUGGGAAACCACGAUGCGGGAAACCCAAGUGCCAGCGCUAUGCGUUGGCUGUCCUCCAGUGUUCGUAACUGGGGAAGAAAGUGCUGGGUAAGACGGGUGCCAGCCGCCGCGGUAAUACCCGCAGCACAAGUGGUGGUCAUUAUUAUUGGGCCUAAAGCGUCCGUAGCUGGCUUGUUAGAUGCCUGGGUAAAUCGAUGCGCUCAACGUAUCGAACUCCGGGUAGACCGGCAAGCUUGGGACCGGGAGAGGCGUGAGCUACUCGAGGGGUAGGGGUAAAAUCCUGUAAUCCUUCGGGGAGGACCAGUGGCGAAGGCGUCACGCUAGAACGGCUCCGACAGUGAGGGACGAAGCCCUGGGGCGCAAACCGGAUUAGAUACCCGGGUAGUCCAGGGUGUAAACGCUGCAGACUUGGUGUCAGUGAUCCUACGAGGGUUGCCGGUGCCGUAGAGAAGUUGUUUAGUCUGCCGCCUGGGGAGUACGGUCGCAAGACUGAAACUUAA